rnacentral:rRNA from 1 species
UACGUAGGGUGCGAGCGUGAAUCGGAAUUACUGGGCGUAAAGCGUGCGCAGGCGGCGCCGCAAGUCAGGCGUGAAAUCCCCGAGCUUAACUUGGGAAUGGCGCUUGAAACUACGGUGCUGGAGUGUGGCAGAGGGAGGUGGAAUUCCACGUGUAGCGGUGAAAUGCGUAGAGAUGUGGAGGAACACCGAUGGCGAAGGCAGCCUCCUGGGCCAACACUGACGCUCAUGCACGAAAGCGUGGGGAGCAAACAGG